rnacentral:tRNA from 1 species
GGCUCGUUGGUCUAGGGGUAUGAUUCUCGCUUUGGGUGUGAGAGGUCCCUGGUUCAAAUCCCGGACGAGCCC